GCGCGCGCAGGUGGUUUCUUAAGUCUGAUGUGAAAGCCCACGGCCCUAUAGGGGAGGGUCAUUGGAAACUGGGAGACUUGAGUGCACAUGAAGAGAGUGGAAUUCCAUGUGUAGCGGUGAAAUGCGUAGAGAUAUGGAGGAACACCAGUGGCGAAGGCGACUUUCUGAAAGGGAACUGACACUGAGGCGCGAAAGCGUGGGGAGCAAACAGGAUUAGAUACCCUGGUAGUCCACGCCGUAAACGAUGAGUGCUAAGUGUUAGAGGGUUUCCGCCCUUUAGUGCUGAAGUUAACGCAUUAAGCACUCCGCCUGGGGAGUUCUGUCGCAAGGCUGAAACUCAAAGGAAUUGACGGGGGCCCGCACAAGCGGUGGAGCAUGUGGUUUAAUUCGAAGCUUUUUUUUUUUUCUUACCAGGUCUUGACCUCCUUUGGGGGGGGGGAGAUAGGCCUCCUCCUUCGGGAGCAGAGUGACAGGUGGUGCAUGGUUGUCGUCAGCUCGUGUCGUGAGAUGUUGGGUUAAGUC
rnacentral:rRNA from 1 species